rnacentral:rRNA from 1 species
UCGAGAGUUUUAUCCUGGCUCAGGAUGAACGCUAGCGGCAGGCUUAACACAUGCAAGUCGAGGGGUAGUAGUUCUUCGGAGCUAGAGACCGGCGCACGGGUGCGUAACGCGUAUGCAAUCUACCUUAUACAGGGGAAUAGCCCAGAGAAAUUUGGAUUAAUACCUCAUAGUAUGUGAGAAUCGCAUGGUUUUUCACAUUAAAGUUCCAACGGUAAAAGAUGAGCAUGCGUCCCAUUAGCUAGAUGGUAAGGUAACGGCUUACCAUGGCUACGAUGGGUAGGGGUCCUGAGAGGGAGAUCCCCCACACUGGUACUGAGACACGGACCAGACUCCGUA